AUUAAAAUAACCUAAUAAGACAAAUGAUAGCUUGUUUCAUUCUUUCUUCUUCAACCGUGGGAAAGAACUGAAAAUGGCAGCCAUGGAUGAGCUCCAUUCAGCCAAGCUUCUACGGAUUAUAUAGAUGAUGAAAAUUGAGACUUGGACCUAGAACGGAAAGAAAUCGAUUUAUGGACGAGUACGUCCUUUUCACAUUUGUGGUAUCGAGAGUUUCCAGGUUAGCUCGGGUUGGAGGCCGUCAGAGAUAUUAUCACCCUAUCGAGUUAACGUUAUCGGAGUAAGUAAACUCAAGUGAUUCGAGUCUAUGGCAUGUAUAGGGUUUUAAUGUGAGUAUGUAAUAUUAUGAUUUAGCCAAAGGCAUUGGCUUGUUAUUAAGGUAGUAUUAGUCAUGUAAAUUGGCCUAUGUCGGCUAAUGACAUUAUGGGCCCAUAUGAUUAUUCUUAUGCAUGUAUGUUAUUAUCUCUUGUAAUGUGGCUUACAACAUGUAUGCCUAGACAUUGAAUUGAGAUUCAUGGAUGAGCUAGUAACUAAUGCAGGAUUAAGUGAUUGGUAAAUAGUUAAUAA